ACUACGGGGGGCAGCAGUGAGGAAUAUUGGUCAAUGGCCGUAAGGCUGAACCAGCCAAGUAGCGUGAGGGAAGACUGCCCUAUGGGUUGUAAACCUCUUUUAUGCGGGGAUAAAGGUGUCCACGUGUGGAUGUUUGCAGGUACCGCAUGAAUAAGGACCGGCUAAUUCCGUGCCAGCAGCCGCGGUAAUACGGAAGGUCCGGGCGUUAUCCGGAUUUAUUGGGUUUAAAGGGUGCGCAGGCGGAGGUUCAAGUCAGCGGUAAAAUUGCGGGGCUCACCCCCGUACUGCCGUUGAAACUGCAUCCCUUGAGUGCGCGAGAAGUAUGCUGAAUGCGUGUUGUAGCGGUGAAAUGCAGAGAUAUCACGCAGAACUCCGAUUGCGAAGGCAGCAUACCGGCGCGCAACUGACGCUCAUGCACGAAAGCGUGGGUAUCGAACAGGAUGAGAUACCCUAGUAGUC
rnacentral:rRNA from 1 species